rnacentral:rRNA from 1 species
UGGUAUGACUGGUUUUACUGAUUCCUCCCUCUUGAAGAACUGUAAUGCCAUUAAUUUGGUGUUGCAGGGAAUCAGGACUGUUACUUUGAAAAAAUUAGAGUGUUUAAAGCAGGCUUUAGCUUGAAUACAUUAGCAUGGAAUAAUGAAAUAGGACGUUUGAUCCUAUUUUGUUGGUUUCUAGGAUUGACGUAAUGAUUAAUAGGGAUAGUUGGGGGCAUUAGUAUUCAAUUGUCAGAGGUGAAAUUCUUGGAUUUAUUGAAGACUAACUACUGCGAAAGCAUUUGCCAAGGAUGUUUUCAUUAAUCAAGAACGAAAGUUAGGGGAUCGAAGACGAUCAGAUACCGUCGUAGUCUUAACCAUAAACUAUGCCGACUAGGGAUCGGAUGAUGUUAAUUUUUUAAUGACUCAUUCGGCGCCUUACG